UACGGGGGGGGCAAGCGUUGUUCGGAAUUACUGGGCGUAAAGGGUUCGUAGGCGGCCAAUUAAGUCAUACGUGAAAUCCCUCGGCUUAACCGGGGAACUGCGUCUGAUACUGGAUGGCUUGAGAUUGGGAGAGGGAUGCGGAAUUCCAGGUGUAGCGGUGAAAUGCGUAGAUAUCUGGAGGAACACCGGUGGCGAAGGCGGCAUCCUGGACCAACACUGACGCUGAGGAGCGAAAGCCAGGGGAGCAAACGGG
rnacentral:rRNA from 1 species